rnacentral:rRNA from 1 species
GUGGGGAAUCUUGCGCAAUGGGCGAAAGCCUGACGCAGCCAUGCCGCGUGAAUGAUGAAGGUCUUAGGAUUGUAAAAUUCUUUCACCGGGGACGAUAAUGACGGUACCCGGAGAAGAAGCUCCGGCUAACUUCGUGCCAGCAGCCGCGGUAAUACGAAGGGGGCUAGCGUUGCUCGGAAUUACUGGGCGUAAAGGGCGCGUAGGCGGACAGCUUAGUCAGAGGUGAAAGCCCAGGGCUCAACCUUGGAAUUGCCUUUGAUACUGGCUGUCUUGAGUUUGGGAGAGGUGAGUGGAACUCCGAGUGUAGAGGUGAAAUUCGUAGAUAUUCGGAAGAACACCAGUGGCGAAGGCGACUCACUGGCCCAAUACUGACGCUGAGGUGCGAAAGCGUGGGGAGCAAACAGGAUUAGAUACCCCAGUAGUCC